rnacentral:rRNA from 1 species
AUACGUAGGGGGCGAGCGUUGUCCGGAUUUAUUGGGCGUAAAGGGUGCGUAGGCGGCCUUGUAAGUCAGAUGUGAAAGUCCUGCUUUUAAGGUGGGAAUUGCUUUGGAUCAUGUCGGGCUCGGGGGCAGGAGUGGGAAGUGGAAUUCCCAGUGUAGCGGUGCAAUGCGUAGAGAUUGGGAGGAACACCAGUGGCGAAGGCGACUUACUGGACUGUAACUGACGCUGAGGCGCGAAAGUGUGGGGAGCAAACAGGAUUAGAUACCCUGGUAGUCCACACUGUAAACGAUGAAUGCUAGGUGUAGGGGGUAUCGACCCCUUCUGUGCCGCAGUUAACACAAUAAGCAUUCCGCCUGGGGAGUACGGCCGCAAGGUUGAAACUCAAAGGAAUUGGCGGGG